rnacentral:lncRNA from 1 species
GAGAGACUGGGAGAGAUCUUUAUUUAAAAAAAAAAGGACAGGCGUGUGUGCGUGGGGGUGCGUGGGGGUUAUGGACGACACGGCGAAUAGUCGGCAUAGAGGCGGUACGUGUCGGCGGCGCGUGUCAGUUCAGGUGCCAUCUUGCCACGCGCGUCUCGAAUGCCAACAUCGGCACCGCGGGCUACGAGCAUCUGCGCCAACAUCCCGUGACCGAGCGCGCAGGCAAUGUGCAGCGGCGUGUUGCCCUUGAUGUCGCGCGCGUCGACAGACAGGCCCGCGCCGAUGAGCGCGCCGGCCAUGUCGCCUCUGCCGAAAAAGGCGGCCGUGUGGAGGAGCGUAAAGCCGCCGGGUGCCAGCGUCGCGCUCGACAGGCCCGAGUUGACCAAGAGGCCCACGUCGUCAGCAUAAAGCGGGAGCGGCACCGACAUGGGCAGCGACGUCGACGCCACCGGCGGCCGGGCAAAAGACCGCGCGUCGAAUCGCCGGAUGAAAUCGGCAUAGGGCCGAGUGACCUUGGACGGAUCAGAGAGCAGGGCGGGCAUGCCCAAAGGCUUGACGCCGUCGUCGUUGACGGCCUGAUCGUCAGCGCCUCGCCUCUCCAGGGCCUCGACGGCGUUGCGCAUGCGCAUAAACUGCGCGAUAUGCAGCGGCGUGUUGCCCAUGCGAUCGGCGGCGUUGAUGUGCGCGCCGGCGUCGACAAGGCUCUCGAUCAGCGCCGCGUCGUCCUGGAUGGCCGCGACGUGGAGCACCGUCAGGCCCUGUGCAUUGGCGAGGUUCACGUCGACGUCGCCCGACGCCAAAAGGACUUUGAGGGCCGCGGCGCCGCGGGUCGCGAGGGCGUCGACGAGCGGAUUGUCGAGCAUGUAGGGGAUGCACACAUUGAUGGUCCCGGCCGCGCCAGAUGCCGGCGGCGCAGGGGCAUGGUCGCCGCCGACCGCGUCCUGCAGGUUCCUCGCGAUGGUUUGCGAUGGGGUGCCGGUGGCGUCGGCAAAGGAGGGGGCCGCCGAACACAAACGGUUGCUCAUGAUGGUCGCUGUCGCUGUUGUCGUCGUUGUCGUUGUUUGGCAAGGUUAAAAGGGUGCCGGGUGGUUGCUGCCGCGGUCGCCUGUGCGUGUGGUUUCGCUUUGUUGCCUGCUGUCGGCAGUCGCCCUAUAGGCUUUGUUCACGGUGCGCAUUGGCCGACCCGCAACAAUGAGCGAUUGGCGCAUGACUAAAAAAACAAACCCCUCACACCCAGAAAAAAAAAAGAAUGGCUCAGGAAAAGCCUAG